UACGUAGGGCGCAAGCGUUGUCCGGAAUUAUUGGGCGUAAAGAGCUCGUAGGCGGUCUGUUGCGUCGGCUGUGAAAACCCGAGGCUCAACCUCGGGCCUGCAGCCGAUACGGGCAGACUAGAGUUCGGCAGGGGAGACUGGAAUUCCUGGUGUAGCGGUGAAAUGCGCAGAUAUCAGGAGGAACACCGGUGGCGAAGGCGGGUCUCUGGGCCGGAUACUGAC
rnacentral:rRNA from 1 species